UACGGAGGGGGCUAGCGUUGUUCGGAAUUACUGGGCGUAAAGCGCACGUAGGCGGAUUGGCAAGUUGGGGGUGAAAUCCCGGGGCUCAACCCCGGAACUGCCUCCAAAACUUCCAGUCUUGAGUCCGAGAGAGGUGAGUGGAAUUCCGAGUGUAGAGGUGAAAUGCGUAGAUAUCCGGAGGAACACCGGUGGCGAAGGCGGCUUCCUGGACCGACACUGACGCUGAGGCGCGAAAGCUAGGGGAGCAAACGGG
rnacentral:rRNA from 1 species